rnacentral:rRNA from 2 species
GGGGAAUAUUGCACAAUGGGCGAAAGCCUGAUGCAGCAACGCCGCGUGAAGGAUGAAGGCCUUUGGGUCGUAAACUUCUGUCCUUGGGGAAGAAAAAAAUGACGGUACCCCUGGAGGAAGUCCCGGCUAACUACGUGCCAGCAGCCGCGGUAAUACGUAGGGGGCGAGCGUUAUCCGGAAUUAUUGGGCGUAAAGAGUACGUAGGUGGUUUUUUAAGCGCAGGGUUUAAGGCGAUGGCUCAACUGUCGUUCGCCCUGUGAACUGGAAGACUUGAGUACAGGAGAGGAAAGCGGAAUUCCUAGUGUAGCGGUGAAAUGCAUAGAUAUUAGGAGGAACACCAGUGGCGAAGGCGGCUUUCUGGACUGUAACUGACACUGAGGUACGAAAGCGUGGGGAGCAAACA